UGGCUGUCCUGUUGGAGAACUAUGAGCAAGCAGAAAUUUUCUUUGAGGAUGCUACUUGCUUGGAACCAACUAAUGUUGUAGCCUGGACUUUACUUGGUUUGUACUAUGAAAUUCAAAACAAUGAUAUUCGAAUGGAAAUGGCAUUUCAUGAGGCCUCCAAACAGCUUCAGGCACGGAUGCUUCAGGCACAAGACCAGGAGCUGCAUUAUCUAUUCUAGACAAAUUUCUUGAAGAAUCCUCCAAACUGCAGUCUGAUUCACAAGAACCCAUUUUGACUACACAAACUUGGGAUCCAAGUAUAAGCCAAAAACCAUCUAACACAUUUAUCAAGGAGAUACCAACAAAGAAAGAAGCAUCAAAAUGUCAAGAUUCAUCAGCUCUUCUGCAUCCCGGCCUUCAUUAUGGUGUUUCUCAAACUACCACCAUCUUCAUGGAGACCAUACGUUUCUUGAUGAAAGUCAAGGCUGUGCAGUAUGUGCACAGAGUGCUUGCACAUGAGCUGUUAUGCCCUCAAGGAGGCCCCAGCUGUGAAUAUUACUUGGUGCUGGCCCAAACACACAUUCUUAAGAAGGACUUUGCCAAGGCAGAGGAAUACCUUCAACAAGCAGCCCAGAUGGACUACCUGAACCCCAAUGUCUGGGGCCUGAAGGGCCAUCUCUAUUUUCUGAGUGGAAAUCAUUCUGAGGCCAAGGCAUGCUAUGAACGAACCAUUAGCUUUGUAAUGGAUGCUUCUGAGAUGCACUUCGUCUUCCUGAGACUGGGGCUCAUCUAUCUGGAAGAGAAAGAGCUGGAGGAGCUCACAGAGGCUGAGGAUGCUCUUUCUGAAGCCAAUGCAUUGAACAACUACAAUGCUGAAGUAUGGGCAUAUCUGGCUCUGGUCUGCCUGAAAGUUGGACGGCAAUUAGAAGCUGAGCAGGCCUACAAGUACAUGAUCAAGCUGAAAUUGAAAGAUGAGGCUCUGCUUGCAGAGAUCCACACACUACAGGAAACAGUUGGCUUUGGAAAUCCAUCUUUCUGAUACCCCUCCAGCUGAACAAUUUUCUGCAUGGGACUCUGAGUUCCUUUCCUUCCCAGAGAGUUUUACCGUAUGAAGCCUGGAGCUGGAGAACGAAAGAAUCUUCACUAUAAACAGAGACCCAUUCAUUUAUUUCCAUUGGCUGUGUUACUGGAUGUUUUACUGGUUGACAAGAAACUGGGUCACAAUAAAAAAAUGGAGAUAUGAAACUCAAAA
rnacentral:sRNA from 1 species